GCUUCUGUAGUGUAGUGGUUAUCACGUUCGCCUCACACGCGAAAGGUCCCCGGUUCGAAACCGGGCAGAAGCA
rnacentral:tRNA from 10 species